CCUACGGGGGGCUGCAGUAGGGAAUAUUGGACAAUGGGCGCAAGCCUGAUCCAGCCAUCCCGCGUGAAGGAUUAAGGCCCUCUGGGUUGUAAACUUCUUUUCUUUGGGAAUAAACACUCCGAUUCAUCGGAGCUUGAAGGUACCAGAGGAAUAAGCACCGGCUAACUCCGUGCCAGCAGCCGCGGUAAUACGGAGGGUGCAAGCUUUAUCCGGAUUCACUGGGUUUAAGGGGUGCGUGUAAGGCUUUGGUGAAAGCCCGGAGCUCAACUCCGGAACUGCCAUUGAUACUGCUUAGCUUGAAUCAGGUCGAGGUGGAUGGAAGAUUACAUGUAGCGGUGAAAUGCUUAGAUAUGUAAUAGAACACCGAUUGCGAAGGCAGUUCACUAGGCCUGGAUUGACACUGAGGCACGAAAGCGUGGGGAUCAAACAGGAUUAGAUACCCUGGUAGUC
rnacentral:rRNA from 1 species